rnacentral:rRNA from 1 species
UACGGGGGGAGCAAGCGUUGUUCGGAUUUACUGGGCGUAAAGGGCGCGUAGGCGGCCUGUGCAAGUCAGUUGUGAAAUCUCCGAGCUUAACUCGGAACGGUCAACUGAUACUGCUCGGCUAGAGUGCGGAAGGGGCAACUGGAAUUCUUGGUGUAGCGGUGAAAUGCGCAGAUAUCAGGAGGAACACCAAUGGCGAAGGCAGCUCGCUGGAACGGUACUGACGCUGAGGCGCGAAAGCGUGGGGAGCGAACAGG